GAUGAACGCUAGCUACAGGCUUAACACAUGCAAGUCGAGGGGCAGCAUGGUCUUAGCUUGCUAAGGCCGAUGGCGACCGGCGCACGGGUGAGUAACACGUAUCCAACCUGCCGUCUACUCUUGGACAGCCUUCUGAAAGGAAGAUUAAUACAAGAUGGCAUCAUGAGUCCACAUGUUCACAUGAUUAAAGGUAUUCCGGUAGACGAUGGGGAUGCGUUCCAUUAGAUAGUAGGCGGGGUAACGGCCCACCUAGUCUUCGAUGGAUAGGGGUUCUGAGAGGAAGGUCCCCCACAUUGGAACUGAGACACGGUCCAAACUCCUACGGGAGGCAGCAGUGAGGAAUAUUGGUCAAUGGGCGAGAGCCUGAACCAGCCAAGUAGCGUGAAGGAUGACUGCCCUAUGGGUUGUAAACUUCUUUUAUAAAGGAAUAAAGUCGGGUAUGCAUACCCGUUUGCAUGUACUUUAUGAAUAAGGAUCGGCUAACUCCGUGCCAGCAGCCGCGGUAAUACGGAGGAUCCGAGCGUUAUCCGGAUUUAUUGGGUUUAAAGGGAGCGUAGAUGGAUGUUUAAGUCAGUUGUGAAAGUUUGCGGCUCAACCGUAAAAUUGCAGUUGAUACUGGAUAUCUUGAGUGCAGUUGAGGCAGGCGGAAUUCGUGGUGUAGCGGUGAAAUGCUUAGAUAUCACGAAGAACUCCGAUUGCGAAGGCAGCCUGCUAAGCUGCAACUGACAUUGAGGCUCGAAAGUGUGGGUAUCAAACAGGAUUAGAUACCCUGGUAGUCCACACGGUAAACGAUGAAUACUCGCUGUUUGCGAUAUACUGCAAGCGGCCAAGCGAAAGCGUUAAGUAUUCCACCUGGGGAGUACGCCGGCAACGGUGAAACUCAAAGGAAUUGACGGGGGCCCGCACAAGCGGAGGAACAUGUGGUUUAAUUCGAUGAUACGCGAGGAACCUUACCCGGGCUUAAAUUGCAGAUGAAUUACGGUGAAAGCCGUAAGCCGCAAGGCAUCUGUGAAGGUGCUGCAUGGUUGUCGUCAGCUCGUGCCGUGAGGUGUCGGCUUAAGUGCCAUAACGAGCGCAACCCUUGUUGUCAGUUACUAACAGGUUCCGCUGAGGACUCUGACAAGACUGCCAUCGUAAGAUGUGAGGAAGGUGGGGAUGACGUCAAAUCAGCACGGCCCUUAUGUCCGGGGCUACACACGUGUUACAAUGGGGGGUACAGAGGGCCGCUACCACGCGAGUGGAUGCCAAUCCCAAAAACCUCUCUCAGUUCGGACUGGAGUCUGCAACCCGACUCCACGAAGCUGGAUUCGCUAGUAAUCGCGCAUCAGCCACGGCGCGGUGAAUACGUUCCCGGGCCUUGUACACACCGCCCGUCAAGCCAUGGGAGCCGGGGGUACCUGAAGUGCGUAACCGCGAGGAGCGCCCUAGGGUAAAACUGGUGACUGGGGCUAAGUCAUAACAA
rnacentral:rRNA from 1 species